GCACUCGCGUGCCUGCCUAUGUGUGUGUACACUGGCAACUGUGUAGGAGAAGGCACAGCGGGGGGAGUCUUUUUUUCUUUUGAAGGGUAAGCAAAACCACUUCCUGCAACGUCCUCUUUUCAGCCCGUGCGCGUGUGUCCGUGGAUGGACUCCUGUGGCGGGCCAUCGCGACGGUGGGGCCAUUGUAUACCUUCCACUGACACCUCCAUAAACGCAGGUGCCUGCGUUUAUACACGCAGAUCAGCACGCGUUCACACACAUGCACACAUACGCGCCGCUACGUACACGACCCAGUGAGAGAGAGAAAGAGAGUGACAGUCCAUCAUCAUACGCGCUGGUGUCCUACCUCAGCUCCUUUUUGCCCCUUCCCCCCUCCCCUGCCGUCCCUGUGGUAUUGCUCCACUGCAGGGUGGCCAUUACUUGGCAGAAUCAUCCACACCAGUUGCCCCCGGCUCACUGCCAUGAAAGCCAAGCAGAAACUCGAACAGUAAGACGGAGCCAAAGUGCUCCUGACGUGCAACACCACUCAGAGAAAAGAAGAAGGAACAGAGAAAGGCCGCUUUCCUUUUCUUCCUGCUUCAGAUUUCCUCAUUCGUCUCCUCCCUCGCGCGACCCACUUCCGUGACUGCGCGUGGGCCCGCGUGCACCUUCCACCUCUCUCUUUAUAGUUCUUCAUCAGAGACAUUUCUGUCUCCUUUUUCAUUUUCGAACGCUUGGCUGCACCCCCUCCCUUCCUUUUCCUUUCCUUUCCUCCUCUUUACUUGUUCUCUCUUGGCGUGGGUGAUUUUCAUUCGCAGACUGGCGGCCGCCUCGCGCGGCAACGCAACUACUCGCUUCUCUUCCUGCCCUCCCUCAUCUUGUGCUCUCUCCCUCAGUGUAUGCGUGCUUGUUUAGGCGUGUGCGGUGCUCUUGUGGCCGGUGGCGCGUUUUGAAUUCCUGCUCGCCUUGCAUCGCGUCACACACUCACUUUCUUGUCUCGCCUGUCGCUCUUACUGUCCCGCUAUCAUUUGAGGCAUACGCUAUGCCUAUAGAUCUGACACCCCUCUCGCUGUUUUUUUUUUUCUGUCUGUGUCUGGUAUGCCUUCGUGCGCCUGCCUGCCUGUGUGCUCCCUCCCUCUCCUUCCGCUCGAUGCGCUCGUGCUCUUUGGCUUUCAUAAAAACAGAAAACGAAAGAACAACGAGAUCGAGUGCGUCUACACACCGUUCGCGACUCUUGCGUGCAUGGCGUGGUGAGUUGGCGACGUUGUCUGACCUCUGUAGUCCCCCUGAGCGGCCAUACCCUGAAGCUUAUCACACACGCGCGCUCCCGACUGCCACCAAAGGAUUUUCGGUAUUCGUUUCGUCGAAGUCCUGACAAGUGCGGGUAGCUCUUCCGCGGAUUUCUGCGCAUAUGAUGUCCCUCCGACAACAUCUGUUCAAUCAACGCGAAGUCGUCGCCGUAUUUUUGGAUCUUGGCGAUGCAACGGUGCACAUCACGGAUGUGGCCCUGCCAGCACCGCACUCAGCGCUCGCGCCCUUGGGAGGCGCUGCUGCUUCUGCGCAUGUGCCUCCUCUGACACGCCUGGAUGUGGUACGUGAGGCGCUGGUUGCGUUCGUGCGCGCCAAGGUGCUUUUUGUCCCCCGAACCGCGCUCCUAACCUUUCGCCUGUACGUCGUGCGCGCCGGCGGUGCCACGGGAAAGGGACACGAGAACGGAGAGGCAGUGGUACAGGAGCUAUCGGCGCUGGGUCCUGCCGGUGCGACUGGCGGCCGUGCGAUGCAGACCGCCAUCAAGGCCCUUGAUCCCAGUCUGCGGGGCCCGAACAACAGCUGCGAGAGCGGUGCUGCGUCGUCGUUGCCGACAGUCUACACCGGAGUGGUACGGUGCCUGAAGCGGCUUCUCGAGGAGGCAGAGCAAGCGCAGCGGCAGCCCGCCGACCAGGCGGUGAUGUGGAUGUCCGAGAGCGCUUCGGUGACUGUGCUCGAAAACUCAUCCUUCGCUUAUACGAAGGGUCCCCCAGCUGCCACGGCUUCUAGCAACAACGCAGGGCUGCCUUCCGCUUCGCCAACUCGCGGAGGCCCACCAGCGACUGCUGCAGCGGUAAACCAGGAGGUGUGUGCCGUGAUGCACGGCAUCGUCCUGCGCUCGCGGCAGUGCCCUCUUACACUGCCGAGCUCUCGCGCGCAAGCCAAGGCUUCGACAACUUCGUGCAGCGCGGGCUGCACUCCUACCACUGCGGCGCCACACUGUUGACUCGAUGUUGUUUCACUAGCUCCCCUUGACAGCGUCUCUCAGACACCACUGUCUUGCUUUUCCGCUAACACCGGCAGCGCUGCGGCAACGGGAAUACCGCAUGAGCGCGCACCGCCACUGUCAACUGAGCUGAGCAUCGACGAUUCCUGUGCCUGCGCGUUGCUCGACCCGGUGGAGCUCACAGGUAUUAGCCACCGCGGGCUCGCACUCGGGCCGGCACUCGCUCGACUCAUCUCCCUAAAGGAGCGCCGCACUUGCUGUUUUGUGCGCCCCCUCACUCGCUGUUGUGGAUCUUCUUGCAUUCGCUCCGACGUCUGCAGAUGCAGGGCCAGCUUCCCUCUUGAGCCGUGCAGCGUUCAAUGCCGGCGAUGGAACCACCUCCCAAAAGCGAAGAAGCACGUCCUACAUGCUGUACGUCCCGGCUGCUGAAGUGAUAACUGGUACUACCGCAGAAAAAAACAUCACCUCACAGCUUGCUCCUUCGCCGAAGCCAUCGGUGCCGUCAGCGUCUUCGCGGCGCUCAGAAUUUCCGCCGGUACUAGCAAUGCGGGCCGGAAACGGCAGCACUUCUGCGCAGUCGUGGUGUGUGUGCGCCCCUGUCGGCACAACGCGCCACUCCCUCCUCGACAUGCCCGUGCAGCGCGGCGCCGCUUCCGCCGAGCAAUCGCCGCAGCAGAUCAACCUACGAAGACCCAUCAGGAACAGUGCUACCGCUGCUGCUGCUGCUAGUGCGGGUCUUCCGACUCCUUUGAAAAUAUUACGCGAAGAGUUGGAGAUCGACCUUGCCAUGGAGCGACACGGCAGCACCACGGCCGACGAGGUUCCCUCUCAAUCACCUGAAUCUUCGACGAAGCUGCCAACCCUGCAGCUGAACCGAGCAGCCACCUACGACGUGUGCACGCAGGGACGACGAGCGCAGGCUGCUCUGAGCCCAAGUGGGCGAGGCCCGAAGAAGGGCCCACCGCGCCCUCAGCCGCAGCCACCGCAUCAGCGGCCGCUAAAUUCCGGCGUCCGCAGCGGUAACGUCAUGCUCUCAAACGCGCAGGUGCCAUCCACAUCGGCAGCGGCAGCGCAUCAACAAGUGCAGAGUCAGAGCACCCCCUAACUGCAGUCAACGGCGUUUCCGGUGCUGGCGCCAUUCGUUACUCCGCUUCCGUUGACGCAUCCACACCCCUUCCUAUCCACGCAAUCUGGCCGCGUCACGGCGCGGCGCGUGAACGGCGCUCGAGCAAACCCCGGCACUCAGGCCACCGACCCUAGCAGCGGAGGCGGCAGCGACGGUAGCAGGAGGCCCAGCACGGCCGUCAGUAGCGGCACGUCGUCCAAAAGCACGCCGCUCGGCACGAUGGCGAAGGGCAGCGCUUCGCCUCCGAGCCAUCCCCAGUCGCCGGUAAAGUGACCUACAGGAUUUCGCAAGCAAGGUGAGGCGACGAGGGAACCGAUUGAAGCGAUGCGUGGAGAAAAAGCCGGUAAGUGGUGACAGUCGGCUUCGGGGGCAAUCGGCGUAAACGUUUGCGUAUGCGCGUGCGCCUUGCUCAUCUUGCGUCCCCGCUGUCUCUCCUGCUUUGCCCUUGUGUCUGUGUGUUUGUGUGCGCCGAUUUACACCUCCCUCCCUCAUCCCGCUGUGCCCCCCUCCCCGUUUUCCCUGUGUAAGUCCGUUUCUCUCGUGUAUGUAUUCGCCCUCGGUCUCUCCCGAUCCUCUUUACUUAUGCUUGAUGCGUACUACCGCCCUGCCGUGUCUUAGACAGCUCUCUCUCUCUGUAUUCGUCUGCGUUUCAGCUCCUCCCCUCACUCCCUCUAUCCCUUCCCCUUAACUCCAUCCCUGUCUUCGAUGCUGGUGUACUUGUAGGCAUAUCUUGCGGAUGCCGAUGGAGGGGGAGUUGGUCCUGCUGGUUGGCUGUGCUACGGCUGCUUCCAGUACGUGAAUGACCCGACACAUAUCUUUCUUUUGCUCGACUUCCUUUUUUGUUGUUUCGUCUACUCGCGCGUGUGCAUGUGAGCACAUCAAAACCGUGCGAGGUGAGAGCGUGCCACUAAACUUGUCAAAGGACGUCGAAGGAAGAUCAAACAAGGUGAAGCGCGAAGAAGCACGCUUGCGUGAAGUAGGACAACGAUGCUGGGACGAAGGCGAAUCGAGGUUGCGCGCGGGGGGCCGUGCGUGUGUACACGUGAAUGGGACUGGAACUUUAUUCCUUCACAUCCAUCUUUUUGUUUAUGCCUAGGUGCAAGCAAUCAGAUCUCCGGCAAAGGUGGCAAAUCCCUGUCGCCCUCUAAACCCAAUCGCCCGCCACAGUAGUUUGCAGAAGCGCCCCUGCAGCCUUUCCCCCUCCACGUCUUUGAUAUGCAGUUCUCUGUCGGUCUGUGAUUCGUGUUAUUCUUCGUCCUUUUUUUCCGUCCUUCUCCCCUCCCUUUCACCGGGUGCGCCAACGAAGACGCGACAGCAAUAUGAAUGCAUCGCCGUUCUUCCCUGCUGGCUUCGCGGGGAGGGGAGCUACUGGCCGAAAUGUGCAACGACAAACAUGUGCAUGCCUAUUUCUGUGUGGGGAUCCUCGCUGGGAGACAUGACAUUUUUACUUGGUCGUUAUCCAUUGUGCUUGGGACACCCCACACCUGUGCCCAUAAGCUGUCCCCCUCUCUUUCAGUGCUCCAUUGUGUACGAUACGUGUGCACUACUUUUGCAUUGAGUGCCCUCGUAUGUCUUGCCUGUGGUGUCGUUUCGCGUCUUCCUCGGAAUUGUGUUGCCGUCAAGGUGCGUCUCUACGCGGCUUCUCAGUUCCCAGUUUUGUUCGCAAGCAGGCAUACCGACAACUCACAUCGCCCCCCUCCCCUUGGUGGUUUUGAGCGGAUGACGCUGUCCACACAGAGUGCGCAACAAGAGAGGCUCUCCCCCCACAGAGACACACACCUUUAUGUGUAGGCACACUUUUGGCGGCGCAUGAGUGUGUCACGGCCAGUGUCCCGGCGAUGUUUCUCACGUCGCCGCUACUGGGACAGGGUGUAGACAUGGCCACAGCGUCUGCUUAACGGAUCAAUGCGACCCGCGAGCGUGGCGAAGGCGCAGCGGAAUGCUGAAAACUGCGCGCAGAUAGCAGGCAGCGCCGGCGAUGCGCCGCACGUUCUCAUUCCUUCAACGUCUUCCUCUCUACCCCGUCGCGACGCCGGGGUCGCUGCGAAACAUGUGCAAUCAUCGGCUAAUCGACAAGUGACAGAGUCGUCUUUUUAAAAAAGACUAAGGCCGUUGCUCGCUGUAUCCGUGGAUACCCUGCCAUCAGGGCGGGUGGGGGGGUGUUUGCCAGACAUCCCCAUCACGGACUGGGUAGGUCCGCGUCUUCUUCA
rnacentral:misc_RNA from 1 species